GGAUGUGAGGCGAUCUGGCUGCGACAUCUGUCACCCCAUUGAUCGCCAGGGUUGAUUCGGCUGAUCUGGCUGGCUAGGCGGGUGUCCCCUUCCUCCCUCACCGCUCCAUGUGCGUCCCUCCCGAAGCUGCGCGCUCGGUCGAAGAGGACGACCAUCCCCGAUAGAGGAGGACCGGUCUUCGGUCAAGGGUAUACGAGUAGCUGCGCUCCCCUGCUAGAACCUCCAAACAAGCUCUCAAGGUCCAUUUGUAGGAGAACGUAGGGUAGUCAAGCUUCCAAGACUGCAGACACAUCCAAAUGAGGCGCUGCAUGUGGCAGUCUGCCUUUCUUU
rnacentral:snRNA from 10 species